AUACGUAGGGCGCGAGCGUUGUCCGGAAUUAUUGGGCGUAAAGGGCUCGUAGGCGGCUUAUUGCGCCUGCUGUGAAAACGCGGGGCUCAACUCCGCGCGUGCAGUGGGUACGGGUAGGCUAGAGUGCAGUAGGGGUGACUGGAAUUCCCGGUGUAGCGGUGGAAUGCGCAGAUAUCGGGAGGAACACCAAUGGCGAAGGCAGGUCACUGGGCUGUUACUGACGCUGAGGAGCGAAAGCAUGGGGAGCGAACAGGAUUAGAUACCCUGGUAGUCCAUGCCGUAAACGUUGGAUGCUAGGUGUGGGGGCCCUCUGAGGCUUCUGCGCCGUAGCUAACGCAUUAAGCAUCCCGCCUGGGGAGUACGGUCGCAAGAUUAAAACUCAAAUGAAUUGACGGGG
rnacentral:rRNA from 1 species